rnacentral:rRNA from 1 species
AUACGUAGGGGGCGAGCGUUGUCCGGAAUGAUUGGGCGUAAAGGGCGCGUAGGCGGCCCGGUAAGUCUGGAGUGAAAGUCCUGUUUUUAAGAUGGGAAUUGCUUUGGAUACUGUCGGGCUUGAGUGCAGGAGAGGUAAGUGGAAUUCCCAGUGUAGCGGUGAAAUGCGUAGAGAUUGGGAGGAACACCAGUGGCGAAGGCGACUGACUGGACUGUAACUGACGAUGAGGCGCGAAAGUGUGGGGAGCAAACAGGAUUAGAUACCCUGGUAGUCCACACUGUAAACGAUGAAUGCUAGGUGUAGGGGGUAUCGACCCCUUCUGUGCCGCAGUCAACACAAUAAGCAUUCCGCCUGGGGAGUACGGCCGCAAGGUUGAAACUCAAAGGAAUUGACGGGG